UGUUCUGUGUUCAUAGAAAGGGGGACAGGUUAAAAAUGGGAAAUGCUGAACUGGUCCACAGCCUCCGUUUUACUAGUGACAAAACUAAGACACAGAACCGUGCCUAAGGCAUGAAACAAGUUAGGGGCCGGGCUUGAACCCCAGCCCAGGGCUCCUGAUUCAAUUACUCACAGUCUUCAUCUUCCCAAAUAUUUAAGAAGAACACAGUGAAGGUCUCCCCAAGUAGAGCAUUCCCGUGACUGAAGCAUAUCUCAUGUUGGACACAUGACAACCAUGCUGGUCUUGGCACACGUUGGCACUCUGCCCCAGCCUCACUGGGGUCACACAGUGGGGCUCAUACCACUUAACUCUGUGCCUUUCAUCCCUGCUGCAAAGUGAAAAGAGUAAUCCAAGAAAGUUGUAGCCAAAAAACAAGAGGGGCUUUAAAGCCAAACCUGCAUGCUCAAAACCAGAAGAACCCCUAAGGGUCAUUAUUCAGAGCUAGGAUUAUAAUCGCAGAACCAAGAAAACCUUCCUGGUUAGUUAACCCAAGCCUUCAUUUUACAGUCAAGCCCCACAGAAUGACUUGCCUAGGACAGGAAGACCAGCUCCUUCGAUCAUACACACCACGUUAACCUGGUCACAGGUGAAAACCAGCCGCUACGGAAAGUAAUACUAAGUACACAGUGACAAAUGGAUCAAAACAGACCAGCGUCCAUGGGGCAGAAGGAGGGGCAGGGAGGAAACUAAACACAGAUCACAACAUUUAAACACGUGAGAUUAAUGCCUCUUCAGAGUGUCACAGGGAGCUCAAAAGGCAUGACUGACUAUUCCUAAUCCUAAAGAAAAGCUAAAAUGAUGCCCUGAACCAAACUCACAGCAGAGACCAAGGGCCUCAGAAGUGGUACAGGUCCUUGGAACAUUCAUCUCCACGACCCAGUGGGUCUGGUGCCGCUCAAAUAACAUCUCCCUGCUCCUAACUUUCCCACACUCUGUCCAAGGCGCCUGAGACAACAACUUCAAACAUGGGGAAUUUUAUUACAUGUGAGGGCUUCUUUCCUACACAAAUGCCACCUGGUAUCUGUCCAGGGUCUUUCCUGGAGCAGCUUCGGAAACCUAAAAGACAAGAUCUCCCUGUGGCCUCUGUAACCCUGGCAGGCAAGGACCAUUCCCUUAAUUCCCCACUGGGAUGCCGGAGGGAGAGAAGGGGUGAUGGCUCAGUCCCAGCAGCACAAUAUAAGACUUGGGCUCACCUUACUGCCAAUGCCCAUGGUCUUCUCUCUGGACCCGUGUCUGUCCAGUCCCUGACUGCCAGCUCUGAGAGCUGCCCAGGGCAGGGAAAACCUGCCAUUAGACAUUCUGGCCUUCACGCCACUCACGUGGGGCCAGCAUCAGCAACAAGAUACAGAUGCUAACUGGGGAACUCUGCUGGGCCUGCCUUCCAAGAUAACUGCCACCCGGAGAGGUCCCCAAAUCUCCCAAAGCACACUGAGGCUGGAGUCGGAGGAUACAGUGGCUCAUGAGCCCGGGCAGGCUAAUCUGUUCACCUCUCUGUGCCACGGUUUCUUCAUCUGUUAAUCCCCAGGGUUGCUGUGUGUUUUAGAUGAGUUCUGCCCACAAAAGUGCGAUGUGUCAGUACUAGUAUUAUUCCCCCUCAGCACUCUAUCCCCUAGCCAUUCGGUAUCCUGAACAGGCUGACUGAGGUCAACUCAGGCAAAAUCCGCCUGGCUAAAACUGCCUCCUUACAGAAAUGCAUUUAAAACUACCCGGGAAGUACCGGGCCAACUGAACCUCUAUUACACAAACCGUAAGAAAGGCUGUAUAGCACACGCUCUCCCUGCCUGCCCGCCUCCCUGCAACAAAAUGAGAAGGCAAAUGUCAUUGCAAGUCUUACUGCCUCUCAGCGGCUCGACAGCCGGAGGGCGGGUGGCCGGGCCGGCCGGACCGGGGACACGUUCCUCGGCGCGAGCGUGGUUAGCGCUCCCGGCGGCGGGUCCCUCGGGGACAGCGCACGUGUGGGCAGCCUCGGCCACCCGGCACCGGCCGGCGGACGCCGCUCGCCACGGCUUGGACACCGGGAGCGCCAGCUGGAGCCGCAACGACCCGGGACCGCAAACUCUCCGAUCGCGUUGCCAGACAGUGGAUCUAAUCUCCCAACGGAUGAGAAACGCCCUGAACUCGGCAAUGGUGAUAGUGGUGGAGAAAAGUAAGCUUGUGGAUGGUUGAGAGGACUCUUGGCACUUGUGAACAUGCCCAUAAUCUUCAGGAAAAGCGACUGACAUUCCUGAGGUCAAAGGAGAAUGAAGAAUAACAGCAGAGCUCUCAUACCAAGCAGCAAGAUCCAC